rnacentral:rRNA from 1 species
AACGAACGCUGGCGGCAUGCCUAACACAUGCAAGUCGAACGAGACCUUCGGGUCUAGUGGCGCACGGGUGCGUAACGCGUGGGAACCUGCCCUUAGGUUCGGAAUAACUCCCCGAAAGGGGUGCUAAUACCGGAUAAUGUCUUCGGACCAAAGAUUUAUCGCCUUUGGAUGGGCCCGCGUUGGAUUAGCUAGUUGGUAGGGUAAAAGCCUACCAAGGCGACGAUCCAUAGCUGGUCUGAGAGGAUGAUCAGCCACACUGGGACUGAGACACGGCCCAGACUCCUACGGGAGGCAGCAGUGGGGAAUAUUGGACAAUGGGCGAAAGCCUGAUCCAGCAAUGCCGCGUGAGUGAUGAAGGCCGUAGGGUUGUAAAGCUCUUUUACCCGGGAUGAUAAUGACAGUACCGGGAGAAUAAGCGCCGGCUAACUCCGUG